GGUUUCUGUCUGAUCCAACCCAUCCAGUAGCUGUUAACAUCAAAUCCAGUGACAGCACAAGUCAGUUUAUGAGCUUCUCCUGGUUUCUUCAGCACUGGAUCUGACUGGGUCAGGACUACCUGGGAGAAGCCUCCUAAAGAAAGAAAAAACAACAGAAUUGGAUGAGAGUUAGGACAUCACAACCAUUGUUUUAAGAAUUGAAACUUCACUUCAACGAAGGAAUAAAAGUAAUAGAAUCAAAUAGCAAAAUGAACCCACGGGAAGAAAAGGCAAACAAUGCGAGGAGAACUGGAAGGAAGGAUGGCAUAGUGGAAGAACAGCUCUUUCUCUGAGGGCUUCUGUGAGGUGUGAAUGUUGAAUCCAGCGACAGCGCAAGUCAGUUUAUGAGCUUUUCCUGGUUUCUUCAGUGCCGGAUCUGACUGGGUCAGAACUUUCUGAGAGAGGGCACCUAAACAGAGAAGAAACAACAGAAUUGGGGGAGGGUUAGGACAUCACAGCCAUGGCUGAGGAAGGCAGCUUCCCUGGAGUGCCACAAAGAAUGAAAUGGAGAAAGAAAUGCACGAGAACAGAAGAUAACCAGUCUGAGGAAAACUGAAGAGAAGGACACCAUAGUGGAAGAAUAGCUGGAUAUUUGAAGGCUUCUGUGAGGCAGAAGUUGAAACUGUCCUUGGAGGUGAUAAAUUAUUCUUGGAUUGCUGGAGAGUAAGAGUCGUUGGAAGAGCCAUAAUGAACAAGCCAGUCCAGUCCUUUUCUGGAUUUCUGCCUAAUCCAGGGGUCUGCAACCUUAAACACUCAAAGAGCCAUUUGGACCCAUUUCCCACAGAAAAGAAAACACCAGGAGCCACAAAACCCUUCCUGUGCCUGACUAUUUCUUGAGCGGCCACAAAACUAGCAUAUAUAGUUGAAUUAAAUGUUCUGAAUCAGGAGGAAACCUGAUGAGGAACAUUUAUGCUUAUGGUUAUGAGAAAAGAUCUACCUGAAAGAUGGAUAAGGAACAGGAGGAAGGUCCAAAGAAGCAUGUCUACCAUUCUGUUGUAUUUUCUUGAGGCUACUUGGUGAUUGGCUCUGGAGAGGCAUGUUUGUAAGAACUGUUUUUAAGAAGAUGAGGCAGUUGAAUUCAUUUGCAUCAUCUCCAUAUUAUAAGGACAUGGUCUUUUCUUGGGGACUGCAAACUUAUGCAAACAUUUUCACAUGAUUGGGAAUGAGGUUGUUCAGUUGAAUUGUUGUUUGUGGGGAAACUAGGAGGACAAAGGUAUGUUGGGUUUGUUCAUCAACUUGAGUUACCUGUCAAAUUAAUAAUAAAGUUAGACUAAAUGCCAAAGGCACACGGAACACUGUUACCCUCCCACCAAAGGUGGUGUUGUGACUAGGCCCAAGUAGUUAUUACCAGACACAAUCAGUCCUAAACAAACAUAUUUUAUUAUAACAGCUAAGAAUUACUUCAUUCUCAGCUUAGUCCAAAUUAAUUCCAAAACAAAUUCUUCAUAAACAGUCCUUCGGCCUUAUCACCAACCUUUGUCUUCUUUGACACCCUGCCAAAGACUUUUCUUGGUAAAACCCCAUGAAGUUCAGAAGCAAGAGAUGCUGACAAGAAACACAUGUAGAAACGUUGCUUUCCUACAAAGAUCCCAAGACCCAUUAAGCCUUCUGGGAAGGACCAAUCAUCUCCUGGCCUUACUCCUGGGUCGUCCUUUUUGCUUUAGCUGCUCUUGCCUUCUGGCAGCUCUUUGCAUGCAUGCCUAGGAACAGGCUCCUCUUGUUCCUCUGCCUCUCUCCUAUCCAGAGUCCACACACCACUCCCAGAUGGCCUUGGCCCCCUCUCUGUCUCCAAUGCAGAGCCCUCGUCCGGGCCUUCCCCUGGCUCCAGGACUAGCCCAUUGUCCUCCCUAGCCUCCUCACUGUCUGACUCCGCUGCCAGCUCCACAAGCUGCUGGCGGACCACAACAGGUGGUCCCUAUUUUUCUACUUGCAUUUUUUACGUGCUUUCGAACUGCUCGGUUGGUAGAAGAAGUUAGAAAUACAAGUAAAUAAAUAAAAAUAAAUAAUUCUCAGCAUAAGGUCUGCAGAGCUGCUUUCUCUUCAUUCAGACUGGGCACUUGUAGAUAAAUAUACUUUGAAUAAAUGACUUACAUAUA